CUUCUCUUAGUUCAAUGGAUAGAACAACAGCCUUCUAAGCUGUAUAUCUCAGUUCGAUUCUGAGAGAGAAGA
rnacentral:tRNA from 1 species